rnacentral:rRNA from 1 species
AAAACGAGUCUCGACAACGAAUAUCUCGGCUCUCGCAUUGAUGAAGAACAUAGUGAAGUACGAUACUUGAUGUGAAUUGCAGAAUCCCGUAAACCAUCGAGUAUUUGAACAUAAAUUGUGCCCGAAGCCAUUAGGCCUAGGGCAUGUCUGCCUGGGCGUCACAC